rnacentral:rRNA from 2 species
UGCUCAGAUUGAACGCUGGCGGCAGGCCUAACACAUGCAAGUCGAGCGGUAGAGAGAAGCUUGCUUCUCUUGAGAGCGGCGGACGGGUGAGUAAUGCCUAGGAAUCUGCCUGGUAGUGGGGGAUAACGUUCGGAAACGGACGCUAAUACCGCAUACGUCCUACGGGAGAAAGCAGGGGACCUUCGGGCCUUGCGCUAUCAGAUGAGCCUAGGUCGGAUUAGCUAGUUGGUGGGGUAAUGGCUCACCAAGGCGACGAUCCGUAACUGGUCUGAGAGGAUGAUCAGUCACACUGGAACUGAGACACGGUCCAGACUCCUACGGGAGGCAGCAGUGGGGAAUAUUGGACAAUGGGCGAAAGCCUGAUCCAGCCAUGCCGCGUGUGUGAAGAAGGUCUUCGGAUUGUAAAGCACUUUAAGUUGGGAGGAAGGGCAGUAAAUUAAUACUUUGCUGUUUUGACGUUACCGACAGAAUAAGCACCGGCUAACUCUGUGCCAGCAGCCGCGGUAAUACAGAGGGUGCAAGCGUUAAUCGGAAUUACUGGGCGUAAAGCGCGCGUAGGUGGUUAGUUAAGUUGGAUGUGAAAUCCCCGGGCUCAACCUGGGAACUGCAUUCAAAACUGACUGACUAGAGUAUGGUAGAGGGUGGUGGAAUUUCCUGUGUAGCGGUGAAAUGCGUAGAUAUAGGAAGGAACACCAGUGGCGAAGGCGACCACCUGGACUGAUACUGACAC